rnacentral:lncRNA from 1 species
CACUGGGGGGGAACUGGGAGGGACUGGGGGGGGAACUGGGAGGGACUGGAAGGGAAUUGGGAGCACUGGGAGGGAACUGGGAGUACUGGGAAGGAACUAGGAAGAACUGGAAGGGAACUGGGAGUACUGGGUGGGACUGGAAGGGGAACUGGGGGGCACUGGGAGGGAACUGGGAGCACUGGGAGAGGGAAUUGGGAGCACUGGGAGGGAUUGGGGGGCAGCUGGGAACACCAGCCCAAAAGAACUGGGCAAACUGGGGGCGCAGAAACCGGCCCAUACUGGGAGAGACACCCCCUCCCCUUGCACACGCGCGUGCAAGGCCGUGCACUCACUAGUGGACAGCACCACAGCCACAGCAGGGAGGGGGCAUCCCUUGCACGAGGCCCCCCCACCUGCCACCAACCCCUUGCACGAGGACCCCCUUGCACAAGUCCACCCCCUCCCCUUGCACACGCGCGUGCACUCACUAGCGGGCGGUGCCGUAACCCCCGGGGAAGGUGGCGGCGGCGAUGGCCACCAGGAGGGUGGGGAGCCCGUAGCCGGCCACCAGCACGUGUCGCACGCGCAGCCACGAGGGCUCGAAGACGCGCACGAGCAGCAGGUAGAGGUGCAGCCCCUCCAGGAACAUCCACGUGAAGGCCGCCAGGAAGGAGAAGUGCAACAGCCCCGCCACCACCGCGCACGCCACCUGCGGGCAUUUGCACGAGGGCUCCUUGCACGAGGGUGCCUCGCACAAGGGCGCUUUGCACGAGGGAGCUUUGCACGAGGGUUCCCCGUGCCUGCCGACCACGUGCGAGCCCCCCCAUGCCACUUGCUCACCCCCCCUUCACCACCCUCUGCUCAUUCUGGCCCUUGCACGCCUUUGCACGCCCUUGCACAAGUGCAUCCUGUGCCCUCCUGUGCGCCACCAGCCACGUGCAAGCCCCCCACAGCCCCUCCCCACACCCUCUCCUUCCCCUCCCCUACAUCCCCAACCCAUUCUGGUCCCUGCAGCCCCUCGCAUGCCC